rnacentral:rRNA from 1 species
UACGUAGGGGGCGAGCGUUGUCCGGAUUUAUUGGGCGUAAAAGGCUUGUAGGUGGCCAUGCGAAGUCGGAUGUGAAAUCUCCGGCUCAACUGGGAGGGUCAUUCGAUACUGGCAGGCUCGAGGCCGGUAGGGGGUAGCGGAAUUCCCGGUGUAGUGGUGGAAUGCGUAGAUAUCGGGAGGAACACCAGUGGCGAAGGCGGCUACCUGGACCGGUUCUGACACUGAGGAGC